AUUCCAGCUCCAAUAGCGAAUACUAAUUCUGCUGCAGUUAAAAAGCUCGUAGUUGAACCUUGGACAAAGUGCGCGUGGUCUACCGCAAGGUAUGACUGCGGCGCUGCGUCUCUUUAGGGGGACUCGAUGCUUCGGUGUCGAGGUAACCCGUGUUACUGUGAAGAAAUUAGAGUGUUUAAAGCAGGCUAUCGCUUGAAUACAUCAGCAUGGAAUAACAAGUUGGACUUUGCUCCUACUUGUUGGUUUGAGGGGAAAAGUAAUGAUUAAUAGGGCCAGUUGGGGGCAUUAGUAUUCAGUAGUCAGAGGUGAAAUUCUUGGAUUUACUGAAGACUAACUAGUGCGAAAGCAUUUGCCAAGGAUGUUUUCAUUA
rnacentral:rRNA from 1 species